UGCGUAGGUGGUUAUUUAAGUCAGAUGUGAAAUCCCUAGGCUUAACCUAGGAAUGGCGUUUGAUACUGGAUAGCUAGAGUGCAGUAGAGGGAAGUGGAAUUUCCGGUGUAGCGGUGAAAUGCGUAGAUAUCGGAAGGAACAUCAGUGGCGAAGGCGACUUCCUGGACUGUUACUGACACUGAGGCACGAAAGCGUGGGGAGCAAACA
rnacentral:rRNA from 1 species